CGAAACAUUACAAGAUGCCAAAACUUGCUUCAACACAAGAGAAGCAGGAUGUCCCAACCGAAGAUGCCAAGUAGAUGGAGCUAAAGAAACCAAUGAAAGGAAAACAGCAGCGAAAGAGACUGUAGAGGAUGAAGUUGAACGGGGAGUAAUGGAAAGACAGUAAAGACCUUCAUCAAAUUUGCCUGAAGAAGAAUCUUCUUAGACAGUAAAGACCUUCAUCAUAAAAUUCAACAUAGG
rnacentral:misc_RNA from 1 species